CCUCCACGCCUCCGAGGCCGCCGGGGCGUGCUCACGCGGCCGCCCGCCGGAAGUAUGUCAUCUCCCACCGCCUCGCGGCCGUGCUGUUUCCUGAAACACGGUCCAGUCUGGGGAAGUGACUUAGAUGAAGGACUGAUUUGUCAUUUCGGCGCUUGUGGAACGACUCCUGGUGUCCUCUUCAGGCACAGAAAUGGACACAUCCUGACGCGGAAGGACACCCCCUCUCCAGGCCGGAGUCCAGAACCGGGAAAGCGCUAUAUGCACUGUGACCAGGCAGUCCGUUCCUCUGCGAAAUCCGAACAAGCUGAGGGAGAGCCCAGUCAAGCUGUGGGGUGCGGGGAAAGGACAGUGUUAGGAAACGUGAGGGCCCCUGGUCCAGUCUUGGGCCACUGAUGGCUCCAGCACGGCGGGUUUGCACGGGUUACCCAGCAGCACAGAACUUAGCGUAUGAAAUAUCUAGGGAAAGUGAACACGAAUCCGGGCUUCAUAAAUGCUAAUAUCGUCAUCACUGGCCCUCAGAGACCUUGUGAGCUGCACAAUUUGGAGUACUGAUACACGAUACACUCAGAGUAUUUUCUCCCGCUUAGAUAGUUCAGCAUUCAUUCAGUGCCUCCUUGAGAGGAGACGAGUACCUUGAAACCCUGAAGGCCUCGUGUCUUCCUCCUCAUCAGACCCAGACGGACUUAACCGAGAAUGAAGCCACUGGUAGGACACCCAACAGGGAACCCGAAGCAGCAAGGGAUCCAGGAGCAGCCCAGCUACCACUUGGCUCCCACAAAAUGGUCGCCCUGGAACUCUUUAUGGAAAAGGAGAAAACACCACCACCACCACCACCACCACCACCACCGUUUCAUAACCCUGCACUGAAUGUGAAGACAACAACCACACACCCCCAAAGGAAACUCUGCCAGGGUACAUGUAUAGUACCUACAGCAUUGAUCAAGUAUUUUGGAUCAAUCAGUGAGGUUGUACUGUUGACUGGCUUGCACUUUCCCUGUACCACUAUACUCCAAGUUCCUGGCUGGCACUGGAGUUACAUCCUUAGCAUGUACACCAUAACCUCCAGGUGAGGGUAAUCACCAAGACCAGGGUUUCCUUCUGCCUUGGGUUUAAUUGGAGGCUACUAUGUCCAGCGGGUUCAAAAGUUAUCUGGGCCCCAGGUUUGGAGAGCAGAUCCUGGCCCAGGAGAGGAAUCGUGCAGUCAGCUGUGACUUCUCUGUGUAUGAAAACUGUACUGGUGACCUCUAUCAGCUGAGUGAUAUUCAUCCUGGCAAAGCCCUCCAGCUUCUGGAGUUUUCUUCUGAUAUCUGGGGUGGCCUGAGCCACAAAAGAGGUAUUUACAAUUUGUUGACUUUCUGGUGCCUCGGGGUCAAACGGGGUGUAUACACGGUAUGUUUCACAUAAUUUUUCAUAGUAGUCUCCAGGAAACUCCCCAGGCUGUUGUGUGGCUGGCCAUAUUUUAGUCAUGUUUAUGGGCUUUUUGGCUCCAGCUUGGAUUCCCUGAAGGAGGGCUUCCUGGUAUCAUCAGAUGUGGGCUUGUCCUUCUUCUGUGGUAAAAUCCCAUGUUGGGCAUUCUUCAGGUGUGGCACCUUGAGCCCAGACAGCAGGGUUAUUAAUCCCCGGAGGUGCGUGAUCUUCUAGGUACUGUUGUGUUUCUCUCAUUAUUUUUUUUUUCCCUUCUGUAUUAAACAGAGUACAGAGUAACUGUUGACAAUCUUCCCAAGUUGGUUGGUGGGUCUGGAAGAGGGACUCCAUCAAGUCAACCAUUGCUUGUGGCUUUUCAGAGUAUGAUGGAGUGUUGUGUUUCCAAUUGAGGGGGUUGGUUGUAGAGAAAGGUUGAUAAUAUAUCAUGGAAUGGCUGGGCUGGACUGUUACAUCCUCAUUCUGUCUUUCAGGUUCUCUCAUCUCCCUUACAGACAUUUUGAGAGCAUUAGGUCUGGGUCUGGGGCACAAUCUGGCUGCUGGCCCUUGUGGGGGAAUAUUCUCUGGGUCCAAGAGGGCUGGGGAGAUGGGUGUGGGAAGCGGAUGACUCUGGCAGUGGCCGAGGAUAGACAGAUGG